AUCCCUUUGUAGUUCAUAAGCGUGAUGAUUGGGUGUUUAUGCUCAUGCAUGAGCUGUGCCUCCCUCAAGCCUUGUGACAUCAUCAUAUUAGCUGUCUGAUG